rnacentral:tRNA from 11 species
GGCGAUAUAGCUCAGUCCGGUUAGAGCACAGGAUUCAUAACCCUGGGGUCCCAAGUUCAAUUCUCGGUAUCGCCACCA